UCGCAUGUGAAAAGCCCAGAGUUCAAUCCUCCGCAACUCCAGUUUAAUCAUAAAAAGUAUAAAUUAAGACUUAAAAACCAGCAAUAUCGACAGCAGUCUAUAAAGUCUUCAUUGAAUUUGAAUUCGGAAUCAGGAUUAUCCAUAUUGAUACAGUAGGUACUAUUCCAGUGAAUGCAUGUAUAAUAAUAAACACAAUCGCUG